rnacentral:rRNA from 1 species
CGGGGGGAGCAAGCGUUGUUCGGAUUUACUGGGCGUAAAGGGCGCGUAGGCGGCGCCGCAAGUCGACUGUGAAAUCUCCGGGCUUAACCCGGAAAGGUCAGCCGAUACUGCGGGGCUGGAGUGCAGAAGGGGCAACUGGAAUUCUCGGUGUAGCGGUGAAAUGCGUAGAUAUCGAGAGGAACACCUGCGGCGAAGGCGGGUUGCUGGGCUGACACUGACGCUGAUGCGCGAAAGCUAGGGGAGCGAACGGGAUUAGAUACCCCGGUAGUCCUAGCCUUAAACGAUGAAUGCUUGGUGUCUGGGGUUUUAUAGUCCCCGGGUGCCGUCGCUAACGCUUUAAGCAUUCCGCCUGGGGAGUACGGUCGCAAGACUG